UGGGGGGUAAAUUUCUCCUAAGGCUAAAUAUCGGCGAGAGACCGAUAGCGAACAAGUACCGUGAGGGAAAGAUGAAAAGAACUUUGAAAAGAGAGUAAAAUAGUACGUGAAAUUGUUGAAAGGGAAACGAUUGAAGUCGGUCGUACCGACGAGAAAUCAACUUAUCGUGUGUGAACUUGUGGGCGUGCGUGAGUUUCGGCCUCGCUGUUUGCAUGUUUGUGCGCUUUGGGUGUACUUUUUCGUAUGGUAGGCCAACGUCAGUUUCGAUCACUAUAAAAUGACCGGCGGAAUGUAGCUUCGAUUUCGGUUGAAGUGUUAUAGCCUCUGGUAGAUGUGGCGAUUGGGAUUGAGGAUUGCAACGAAUACCCUUUGGGCUAUCCGUCUGGCCUCUGAAAGUUGCUUAGGUGCCGAAAGCUUGCUUACGGUCAUCGAAGUUGGCGGUCAAUAGGUUAGAACGUGAUUACAUCCGUUAAGGACGUUGGCGUAAUGGCUUUAAACGACCCGUCUUGAAACACGGACCAAGGAGUCUAACAUAUAUGCGAGUGUUCGGGUGUGUAAACCCCUACGCGUAAUGAAAGUAAUUUAGGUGGGAUCACUUUUUGUGUGCACCAUCGACC
rnacentral:rRNA from 1 species